rnacentral:lncRNA from 1 species
AUUAUCUAACACGCAAGCAUGUCAAAUCAGUUUCUAGACAGAAUCUGGACCCCUCUCUCUUCCAUUCUGUCUCUUUCUACCUCUCUCUCAUUCUUUCACCAUGGAAUUUGGAAAGCAUGAACCAGGAAGCUCACUAAAGAGGAACAAGAACUUAGAGGAGGGAGUGACGGUAAGAUGCCUGGGAUUUUGCAAACUCAGGAUUAAAAUCUAACUGACAGGAUGAAAGGGAAGCAGUCCCAGAGUAGAAAAGCUAUUUCCCUGUCUCAGUUUGCAUUUCAGGCUGGUCAAUAAUCUUGGAAUGAACAAGUUCUCUGACUUUCUUGAAUACGGUGUAAUAAACUUCUACAAAAAUGUCAUUGCUGGGAAGUGGGCAACUUGGAUUUGAACGAUGUGUUUGUUCUCCCUCCAUGUUCAAAGCUGGCAUUCUUUACUCUGAGCCUUUGCUUGGUUUAUUGUCUUACUUACUGAUACUAGGAAUGGUGAGUGUUCAAAGACCAGUCUUCCUGGGAAAUACAAAGGACAUUCACAAAAGAAAGUCUUGUAGAAUAUUUCAAUGCCUUUUGAAGUAAGUUUUGUGAACUUAACAUAAAGUUUACUCAUCAUAAAAAUUUGGAAUCCUUUUGUUUUUGUGCUAUAGAAAUAAUAAAAGCAGCAUUACUUUGACAAUAAUCAAUUCAUUGUUAGUUAACUACCAUCAGUAUUACUGUCUCCAAUAUGAUGUGUUUUACAUUCCCCAAUACAAUGUGUUGUAUAUGGUCCACCUCCUGGGUUUAGAUGGAUAACUUUGCUUGCAAGCUUACUGUGGUUGCAGAGCUAAUGCUAGAAUUAUUCAUGCUUCAUUUUAACAGCAGCAAGCACAAGGCUAAGCCAUAACGACUCUAAUAAGGCCCAACUUGUAUAAUUAUAUUGUUCUAGAUAUCUGAAGAUAAGGAUUACAUACUCCUAUUGAUAUUAAAAAACUAAACAAACAAAGACAUUCUGACUUGAAAAUUAUUGAAGAAUAUUAGAAUUUCAAGAUCUUAAGAACAUUUUGGAUAGCAUAUAUGUGUUUUUUUUUAAAGAGCCAAGUCAUCAUUAUUUUGAGCAGUAAUUAUAGAAACUGUGUAGCAUAGAAUGACCACAGACUACUUUCGCUUUUGACUUUAUUGAAAAAUCAAAUGUUGUAGAAAUAGAUAGAGCUUUUGAGUCAGAAAUAUCUAUACGAAAGUUCUUGUUGCUCUACUUUUAAGUAAAAAGCUUUGGAUUUUGUUCAGUCUUUCUGAACUUCCACAAACUCACUUGUAAGGUGGGGAACAGUAGCAACUAGUUUGAAGGGGUCUGAAAAAUAAAAGGUGUAAUGUGUGAAGUCUCUAGAAUUACCUCAUUUUCAUAUUGGCUUGUCUUGACAUGUGACUACACACACACACACACACACACACACACACACACACAC